AGAACACCCCUUGCCAACAUCAGCAUAAAGGAAAGGGAUAGAUGCAGCUGCAAUGGUGAAGGGGAAGGCCAUGCAACAGUACGGCCUUUAAAGAUGGAAAUCAAUCAGAGUCAACAUGUUCUCUGCAAUGUGAAUCCCAAACUCAGCACUUCCAGCACAACCAAAAGCAAAAUAGGUUAUCAGUAUGUCAGAUUUUGUUAGUAUGUCUCUGUUACAUAUUUAUUAAAGAUCUAUAAAUACACAGUUAUGUAGAAAGGUUAUACGUUUUACAAUCAUAGUAACCAUAUGCAAAUAGUUCAAAUAUUUGGUGACUCAGGUAUCAGGUCACAGGCAUUUUAUCUCAGCUAUUUAUAAUAUGCUCAAGCCAAUUCUUUGUCAUUUUCAACCCCAUUGUAAGCAGUAACAGAGAACAGGGUUUCUGUUCAUCAGCCAACAUCCAUACACUUUAGGUGUGGAUGAAACAAAGACAAAGCACAAAUUAUUUUUUGUUUUCUUUUCCAAGUAUAAAUCCCUUGCUAGGGAAGAGCAACACUUUUACAUAGUUGUAACACUUGUUUGACAGUAACAAAUGGCAGUUUGUAGUGGUAGCUAUCUGCACAAAGCUUCACGCAUAUCAAACACCCCAGUCUUCUACAGGAACAGUGAAGACUCAUUGUUGCUGCUACUGGUUUCACAGUUUCAUCAAGAGCUUCAUUAUCAGGCUGAUGGCUUAAAAAGGAGUGGUAAAAUGAAGCGGGAUGGAUGUACAUGUACCACACUGUAGGCAUAGGCAGAGAACACAUGGGGUGGAGAGGGGGAAAUGACCAAACAC